ACGGGAGGCAGCAGUGGGGAAUAUUGCACAAUGGGCGAAAGCCUGAUGCAGCAACGCCGCGUGAGGGAAGACGGUUUUCGGAUUGUAAACCUUUGUCCUUGGUGAAGAUAAUGACGGUAGCCGAGGAGGAAGCCACGGCUAACUACGUGCCAGCAGCCGCGGUAAUACGUAGGUGGCAAGCGUUAUCCGGAUUUACUGGGUGUAAAGGGCGCGUAGGCGGGGAUGCAAGUCAGAUGUGAAAUCUAUGGGCUUAACUCAUAAACUGCAUUUGAAACUGUAUCUCUUGAGUGCUGGAGAGGUAGAUGGAAUUCCUAGUGUAGCGGUGAAAUGCGUAGAUAUUAGGAAGAACACCAGUGGCGAAGGCGAUCUACUGGACAGUAACUGACGCUGAGGCGCGAAAGCGUGGGGAGCAAACAGGAUUAGAUACCCUGGUA
rnacentral:rRNA from 1 species